GGAAUUUUCUGUCUCGCUGGCGUUGAUGAGAUGCGACUUUCACGGGAAGAGGAGCAACCGAGCCGCCAAAAUCUGUGGUACUCAAGAACCCAAAUUCGGAGCGGAUCUACUACCCCAGCUGAGGUCUGGGUUAUAGCUGCUGUGAAAGGUCUGACAGAGCUGUUUGAGAGAAGCCCUCCUCUCAGAACUCGUCCCACACAUGGCUUUUUUCUCAGACGGGUGUCCUGCAGUCGAUGUCCGGCCGCGUGGAGAUGACGGCCCAGGCCAGGCCCACCAACAGCGCCACCACCAGGUUCACUACGAUCCACGGCCGCAGGAUCUGCUGCUCUGAACCUGGAGGCCUGGGGGAGGACAGGGAGGACAGGGGAAUGAGGCCAGAGCAGUUGGGUCCAGGGUGAGGAAGCCUCUCAGGGCCAUGGAGGCCUUGGCCAAGUUCACUCUGCAGACCGGAAGCCGUUGUGAACCCUCAUAGCGACGUCUCUGGUGGUCCAGAUCUGUCUGGGGUCCAUGUAGUCGUCCAUCAGCUCUGAGUGUCGGAGCUGCUCCACUCGCUCCGCCUGGAAACGCCCUGCACAAGUCAAAAUGUCUGCCGUGAAGGUUUGAAAUUCCUGAGGUGGAACAAUGGCAUAAACCGACUCUGCGCUCAUUUUAGAAGCUGGUUGUUUAUUGCGGCCAGGCCGUGGCUCAGAGAGUCUGAGGAGAUUUGGUGGGUCAGGUGAGGUCAGAUGCCAGUGACCCGCACAGACAUCAGCACUGCUUCUGGUGGAUUAAAGAGGCUGCUGGUGCCAACAGGAAUAUGUUCUGGGUUACUGAGGGUUUAAAAGGCAACUUCUGUCCAUUAAAAUACCACUCAAGAGUAAAUCCUUACUGGUUAAUAUCAGUUUAUAUACUCUAAGCACUUAACGGGAACAUUUUUAUGGGUUUUAAUGAGAUGCUAAGUGAGUUGUAUUUGUUUUCUCUGUGUUUAUAUAUAGGUGUCACUUCUUAUACCAUUCAUUAGCAGAAGAGAGUCUCUUUUGCAGUGUUUCCUUCGUCUCUGCACUGAAAAAUAUUUCGGCAGCAUAAAGAAGGACACUCAUAUUCAAUUGCUCACACCUCAACCCAUUUUCCAACUGAUAGACAGCACUAAUCAGAUCAUUAACAUCGUCUGCAAACCACGUUGGAGAAGGGACACGUGAAGAGUCGGGAACCUGUUGGUGGCAAAAUCAUUUCUCCUAACGCGACACUUUAUGGCUUGAAAAAAAAGCUGCCGUUUGCACUGAUUUCAUUUAGUUCAUACAACAGGAAAUGUGCUGUAUGUGAACAGAAACAAACGCCUUUUAAAAAUGUCAUGUAUUAUUUUAUGUGGUAAUUAAACCCAGAAAAAUUUUGCGGGUUUGCUCUCAAGAAACAUUUGAUACACAACACUGUAUUCUUUGGAACAAAAUUCUACUGAGGGAUGGAAAAGUAUGAUAAAAAUUUCCAUUAUGGCUCAUAAUAAUCAAGGGUCUAUAUCACAUCACUACAUGUUUAAUCGCACUGUUUUUUGUGGUUGCUGGCUGUACCAUUGUACCGCAUUAUUAAUACACUGAACUGCAUCUUCACAAACGUCAACAGCAAAAUCACUGUUUCCUUUCUCCAAGAUACCAGAGCUGCAGGCAGGAUGACCACAAAUGCUAUUUAACGGUGACUUUAAACCUGCAGUAACGAGGUUCAGGUGCAGACCGGAGACUCAGCUUUCCGGAGUUAGAAAUGAGACAAGUAUCAUCACAGUAUCAAAAAUAGUGUCAGAGUAUAAAGAGUCCAAGGAAGAUCAUGACAAAGGUUUUCUACACACACACACACACACACACACACACACACACACACACACACACACACACACACACACACACACAAACUCAUUCAUUGAACUUGUUCUCAAACAGUUUCUUAUUUCCUCAUCCAGUAGUCGCAAAGCAACAUGAUGGUUCAUCUGGAUCUGGUGUCUGUGUCACCUGAUGAAUCUAAGUCCAGUACUCCCUUUCUUUUAGCUCCGGUUUUUGU